rnacentral:lncRNA from 1 species
UCCCGCACUAGCUUCUCAAUCUCGUUCUUCUGUAGAUGGGAGUAUCGAUAGGGUCGGAUAUUGAUAGUUGAAGUUCCCUCCUAUAAUGUGAUCGCAUGCUCUUGUGUCCUCUUGGGAGGUAAGCCCUGUGGCAUGUUGAAGACUGAGUGGUACUCCUUCAACAGCUUCUUGAUAGCGGGAAUUUCCACUGGAGUUUUAUCUGUUACUUCCUCAUUAUCAAAUAAAGCUUGUAACUCCAACAGAUAUACCCCAUCCUCUUUCUCGCACAACUUCUCCAUCGUUCUUAAAGAAACUUGAGCGCAAAGCAGAUCCGGAUC